UAAAGUGCAAGGGUGAGACUUUAGCAUGGGUUCAGUGCUGCCGUGGCUUCAGGCCGAGUGCACCUGUGACAAAAUUGGCUCACUGGUUCUUCCUUUGAUGUAGGUAACUGCUGUGUACACACCUUGGGCUGAAGAGCCAGUUGUGGCCCUGUUAAGACCCAGAAACCAGGAAGAACAAGGCCCAGUUCCAGACCGUGGGCCUCAUGGGUGUGGCCGCUGUUACCUGGCCACGGCACUGCUGAGCUGCCCACAUAGCUCUCCUCUUUUGGGGGGCAUGGGGGUUCCAGGCUGUCUCAUCCUAGUAGUGCAGGUCCUGAAUUGUCAAUCUUACUAGGAUUGACUUGGGUUUGACUAGAGAGUGUGGAGAGGCUGUGAUGACCUGUGGUGGUACCUGGAGAUUCCAGACUGACAACUGUAUGUGGUCUUAAAAGUGUUAAUUAAGAGGGAACACUGGCUGUGAGUGCUGUAUCAAAUGAUCCAAAUAAACCUGUUUAUUCUUGAAAGGUGAAUGACUUUUAUAAUGUGUAUGUGUAUUGCCUGCAUAGAUGUAAGUGCACCCUGUUAGGCAAUACCCACGGAGGUCAGAAGAGGGCAUCAGAUCCCCAGGAACCAGAACCACCAUG
rnacentral:lncRNA from 1 species